rnacentral:rRNA from 1 species
UACGUAGGGCGCAAGCGUUGUCCGGAAUUAUUGGGCGUAAAGAGCUCGUAGGCGGUUUGUCGCGUCUGCUGUGAAAACCCGAGGCUCAACCUCGGGCCUGCAGUGGGUACGGGCAAACUAGAGUGCGGUAGGGGGAGAUUGGAAUUCCUGGUGUAGCGGUGGAAUGCGCAGAUAUCAGGAGGAACACCGAUGGCGAAGGCAGAUCUCUGGGCCGUAACUGACGCUGAGGAGCGAAAGCAUGGGGAGCGAACAGG